rnacentral:rRNA from 1 species
CGGACGGGUGAGUAACGCGUGGGUAACCUGCCUCAUACAGGGGGAUAACAGUUAGAAAUGACUGCUAAUACCGCAUAAGCGCACGGAAUCGCAUGAUUCGGUGUGAAAAACUCCGGUGGUAUGAGAUGGACCCGCGUCUGAUUAGCUAGUUGGUGGGGUAAAGGCCUACCAAGGCGACGAUCAGUAGCCGACCUGAGAGGGUGAUCGGCCACAUUGGGACUGAGACACGGCCCAAACUCCUACGGAAGGCAGCAG